GGCCGAGACAACAGGCAGGAGAGCUUGUCCUGGCGAGGGAGAGCAAACCAGGGCACAGUGGUGCUGCCAUAGGAGCCGCAGGGGGACGGAAACAGAUAAGGCCAUUUCCCAGAAGAAGCCCUGGGUACAGAUACGCUACGAUCUGGGGAGUUUCGCCUUGGAAAGCCGAGGGAAAGCUGAGGUUCCCACGAUCGCUUUGAACACCAGGAGGCACGGUUUUGAUCUAGAUAUCAGCUAUGUAACAGAGGCAUAAGUGAAGACGCUGAAGGAUUUUUACAUAAAAAGAAAAAAGAACAGAAGAAAGAAUUACUAAUGUGAGCCAUCUCACCUGGUGUCUUCCUUCC